rnacentral:pre_miRNA from 1 species
AAUAAGUAAUGUUUUACACUGUUCACGUCCAACGUUUAACCGUUUGUCUUAUUUGAAAUUUUUUUAUGAUUAGUAUUUUUAUUAUUAUUAGAUGAUAAAAUAUGAAUAGUACUUUAUGUGUGACUAUUUUUUUAAUUUUUUCAUAAAUUUUUCAAAUAAGACGAACGGUCAAACGUUGGACACGGAUACCCACGGCUGUACUUAUU